rnacentral:rRNA from 1 species
GAUGAACGCUGGCGGCGUGCUUAAUACAUGCAAGUCGAGCGAACAGACGAUGAGCUUGCUCGUCUGACGUUAGCGGCGGACGGGUGAGUCACACGUGUAUAACCUACUUAUCAGACUGGGAUAAUUUCGGGACACCGGAGCUAAUACCGGAUAAUAUCUUGAACCGCAGGGUUCAAUAGUGAAAGACGGUUUUGUCGUCGGUUGUGGCUGGAUCCGAGCUGCAUUAGCUAGUUGGUGGGUUAGCGGCGUAUCAAGGCUACGAUGGGUAGCCGGCCUGAGAGGGUGACCGGCCACAUUGGGACUGAGAUACGGCCCAGACGCCUACGGGAGGCAGCAGUGGGGAAUAUUGCAAAAUGGGCGGAAGCCUGAUGCAGCAACGCCGCGUGCGGGAUGACGGCCUUCGGGUUGUAAACCGCUUUCGCCUGUGACGAAGCGUGAGUGACGGUAAUGGGUAAAGAAGCACCGGCUAACUACGUG